CCUACGGGAGGCAGCAGUGGGGAAUUUUGGACAAUGGGCGCAAGCCUGAUCCAGCAAUGCCGCGUGCAGGAUGAAGGCCUUCGGGUUGUAAACUGCUUUUGUACGGAACGAAACGGUGAGCUCUAAUAAAGUUUGCUAAUGACGGUACCGUAAGAAUAAGCACCGGCUAACUACGUGCCAGCAGCCGCGGUAAUACGUAGGGUGCGAGCGUUAAUCGGAAUUACUGGGCGUAAAGCGUGCGCAGGCGGUUAUAUAAGACAGAUGUGAAAUCCCCGGGCUCAACCUGGGACCUGCAUUUGUGACUGUAUAGCUAGAGUACGGUAGAGGGGGAUGGAAUUCCGCGUGUAGCAGUGAAAUGCGUAGAUAUGCGGAGGAACACCGAUGGCGAAGGCAAUCCCCUGGACCUGUACUGACGCUCAUGCACGAAAGCGUGGGGAGCAAACAGGAUUAGAUACCCUGGUAGUCCACGCCCUAAACGAUGUCAACUGGUUGUUGGGUCUUCACUGACUCAGUAACGAAGCUAACGCGUGAAGUUGACCGCCUGGGGAGUACGGCCGCAAGGUUGAAACUCAAAGGAUUGACGGCGNGAGAGAGCGACGACGACGACGAGGGAGGAGG
rnacentral:rRNA from 1 species